rnacentral:lncRNA from 1 species
AUGGCUGUGGGAGGAAAACCUGGAUAUGUAGCUCAGAUGGCAACACAAUAUAAGAGCAGAUUAAAGGAUGAGAGUUUGGGUUCCUUUUAUUUCAUGAUGCUUCAGUGCUCGGAUACAGGAGGCUUAAGGUUCAAGAAAAAUGAAAGAUCAAAUACAAAAUGUUUUUAUUGUGCUCUAUCAUUUACACCAAAAAUUAAUGCCCACCUAUUUUUUCCAGGCAUUGAAAAACACAGAUACAAGAACUGCUCAAAGAGUGAUUUUUAUUUGCUAUCAUACCUAUGUGAAAUAGAAGCUAAUUAAUUUGAAGAUCAUUUGCUCUAAUCCUUUUGGGCGUGCAGGGAGAAAUCACCAAUUUAAAAAAGCCCAAUACAACCAUUCCUUCUGCUGAACAGAAUUCUUGUAUCAUCCUGCCUGUGAGCUGAAUCUUUCAGAAGCCCAACCAGCAUCUCAACACAAAUUCUUUCAUCAGAAAGACCACGUACGAAUGCAAAGCAAUCUAUGUAUACACCAAGAAAAUACAGUGGUCAGAUGAAGGUCAAGACUCAAUGUUUAAAGACUGAUGAGGCUAGGAAUGAGGGAAACUAUCCUUAUAGCUCACAAGUCAAGGUAGAAGAACUGGUAUUUGCAAGUUCCACAAAGGCUUCUGAAGCUGAACCAUAACUGGGACAGAUCGAACCUCAGCAUUUCUUGGUUUUGUUUUGCUUUUUAAAUAUGCUCAGCCUGAAGGAACAGCAAAUGUGUGUCAGCUUCUAGUUCCACAGUGCUCUGCAGAAGAAAGUACACGAGAUACCCAGCUGUCAUUUCAAAAGGUGUUACCUGCUGCCUGCAUGCCCCUUCCUUUAGCCUUCCCCUGAGAAAGCAAUGCCAGAGGGAGAGAGAGCACUGCAGUCCUGGAUUGAAGGCCACAGGGAUCGGGAAACUGAAGUUAUCCCAAACAAAGAUAAACCUGUGCAGCUACAGCAGGGCACAGCCCCCUCUCCACUCCCUUUCUUCAUCUUGAAAUUAACCUGAGAUUUCAUUUAAGCUGUAUCCAACUGUCAGGAUAGCAAAAUAUUUAGAAAGUUGAUUUUGCAUGCUAGCGUUAACACAUGAUACAGUCUUACACUUUUUCAGAAAACUGAGUCACAUCAAAUCGCUAGUCUCUGGCAAAAAUGAUAUUUUAAAACAUAUGUUGCUACCAUGAAGGGCUGGUUCUAUUUGAGGAAGAGGUGAAUCUGAAGCUGUCUGCGCUGCACAAAGUACUACCAAUAUUGCCAUAUGCAUAUGUUAAAGAUUUGGUUCUGAAAGCUGCUUUUUACUU